rnacentral:rRNA from 1 species
AUCCUGAGUAGCGCGGGGCACGAGAAAUCUUGCGUGAAACAGCGGGGCCCAUCCCGUAAGGCUAAAUACUCCCGAGAGACCGAUAGCGAACCAGUACCGUGAGGGAAAGGUGAAAAGAACCCCGAGCAGGGGAGUGAAAUAGACCCUGAACCCGUCUGCCUACAAGCGGUCGGAGCGUCGUAAUGACGUGACGGCGUGCCUUUUGCAUAAUGAACCUACGAGUUACCUUCCCCGGCAAGGUUAAGUUCUUGAGGAACGGAGCCGAAGCGAAAGCGAGUCUGAACAGGGCGCCAAGUCGGGGGGGGUAGACGCGAAACCGAGUGAUCUACCCUUGGCCAGGUUGAAGGUUGGGUAACACCAACUGGAGGACCGGAUGGGUAAGCGUUGAAAAGCUUUCCAAUGAGCUGAGGGUAGGGGUGAAAGGCUAAUCAAACUCGGAGAUAGCUCGUACUCCCCGAAAUGCAUUUAGGUGCAGCCUCUUUAUAGUAUAUCGUGAGGUAGAGCGACUGAUUGGAUGCGAGGGCUUCACCGCCUAUCAAGUCCAGAUAAACUCCGAAUGCGCGAUAUAUAUUUACAGGGAGUGAGGGCGCGGGUGCUAAGGUCCGUGUCCGAGAGGAGAAGAAUCCAGACCACCGGCUAAGGCCCCCAAAUGAUCGUUAAGUUGAACUAACGAGGUCGGAUCGCAGAGACAGCUAGGAUGUUGGCUUGGAAGCAGCCAUUCAUUUAAAGAGUGCGUAACAGCUCACUAGUCGAGCGAUCUGGCGUGGAUAAUAAUCGGGCAUAAACGAUCUGCCGAAGCCGUGGAUGUCGCAAGACAUGGUAGGGGAGCAUUCCAUGCCGCGUCGAAGAUGAGGGAUGACCCUUGUUGGAGCGCAUGGAAAAGCAAAUGUAGGUAUGAGUAACGAUAAGGGGGGCGAGAAACCCCCCCGCCGAAAGACCAAGGUUUCCUGAUCAACGCUAAUCGGAUCAGGGUGAGUCGGGACCUAAGGCAAAGCCGAACGGCGCCGCCGAUGGAAGAAUGGGUUAAUAUUCCCAUACUGCCUCAUGGAGUGACGUGGAGACGGAGAAGUGACAGUCCUGCCGGCUGACGGAAUAGCCGGUUGAAGGGUGUAGAUAUUGAUUCCCGUAGGCAAAUCCGCGGGGAGAGUCGAACCUGAGAGUAUACGGAGCGCUUGCGCAACGUAAUAUGGACGUAACCAUGCUCCCGAGAAAAUCCGCUAAACUUAUCCAUGCGGCACCCGUACCGUAAACGGACACACGUGGUCGGGUUGAGAAUACUGAGGCGCUCGAGUGAUUCACGGUUAAGGAACUAGGCAAAUUGACCCUGUAACUUCGGGAUAAAGGGUCCUCGUCGUAAGGCGAGGCGCAGAGAAUAGGUCCAGGCAACUGUUUAACAAAAACACAUGGCUGUGCUAAAUGGAAACAUGAUGUAUACAGCCUGACACCUGCCCGGUGCUGGAAGGUUAAGAGGAGAUGUCAUCGCAAGAGAAGCGUUGAAUUGAAGCCCCAGUAAACGGCGGCCGUAACUAUAACGGUCCUAAGGUAGCGAAAUUCCUUGUCGGGUAAGU